rnacentral:rRNA from 1 species
ACAGUGGACGCGAGCAUCUGUGGCCAAGUUUUUAAGGGCGCACGGUGGAUGCCUUGGCACCAGGAACCGAUGAAGGACGUGGGAGGCCACGAUAGUCCCCGGGGAGCUGUCAACCAAGCUUUGAUCCGGGGGUUUCCGAAUGGGGAAACCCGGCAGUCGUCAUGGGCUGUCACCCGCUGCUGAACACAUAGGCAGUGUGGAGGGAACGCGGGGAAGUGAAACAUCUCAGUACCCGCAGGAAGAGAAAACAACCGUGAUUCCGGGAGUAGUGGCGAGCGAAACCGGAUGAGGCCAAACCGUAUGUGUGUGAUACCCGGCAGGGGUUGCGCAUACGGGGUUGUGGGAUCUCUUUUUCAUAGUCUGCCGACUGUGAGACGAGUCAGAAACCGUUGGUGUAGGCGAAGGACAUGCGAAAGGUCCGGCGUAGAGGGUAAGACCCCCGUAGCUGAAACAUCAACGGCUCGUUUAAGAGACACCCAAGUAGCACGGGGCCCGAGAAAUCCCGUGUGAAUCUGGCGGGACCACCCGCUAAGCCUAAAUAUUCCCUGGUGACCGAUAGCGGAUAGUACCGUGAGGGAAUGGUGAAAAGUACNNNNCGCGGGAGCGGAGUGAAAUAGUACCUGAAACCGUGUGCCUACAAGCCGUGGGAGCGUCGCUGUAUGUGCUUGCACAUNNNNNNNNNNNNGCAGUCGUGACUGCGUGCCUUUUGAAGAAUGAGCCUGCGAGUUAGCGGUGUGUAGCGAGGUUAACCCGUGUGGGGAAGCCGUAGCGAAAGCGAGUCCGAAUAGGGCGAUUGAGUUGCACGCUCUAGACCCGAAGCGGAGUGAUCUAGCCAUGGGCAGGUUGAAGCGGAGGUAAGACUUCGUGGAGGACCGAACCCACCAGGGUUGAAAACCUGGGGGAUGACCUGUGGUUAGGGGUGAAAGGCCAAUCAAACUCCGUGAUAGCUGGUUCUCCCCGAAAUGCAUUUAGGUGCAGCGUCGUGUGUUUCUUGCCGGAGGUAGAGCACUGGAUAGGCGAUGGGCCCUACCGGGUUACUGACCUUAGCCAAACUCCGAAUGCCGGUAAGUGAGAGCACGGCAGUGAGACUGUGGGGGAUAAGCUCCAUGGUCGAGAGGGAAACAGCCCAGAGCAUCGACUAAGGCCCCUAAGCGUACGCUAAGUGGGAAAGGAUGUGGAGUCGCAGAGACAACCAGGAGGUUGGCUUAGAAGCAGCCACCCUUGAAAGAGUGCGUAAUAGCUCACUGGUCAAGUGAUUCCGCGCCGACAAUGUAGCGGGGCUCAAGCGUACCGCCGAAGUCGUGUCAUUCAUACACAUAGGGCCAACGCCCGUAUGGAUGGGUAGGGGAGCGUCGUGUGCCGGGUGAAGCAGCCGCGGAAGCGAGUUGUGGACGGUUCACGAGUGAGAAUGCAGGCAUGAGUAGCGAUACACACGUGAGAAACGUGUGCGCCGAUUGACUAAGGGUUCCUGGGUCAAGCUGAUCUGCCCAGGGUAAGUCGGGACCUAAGGCGAGGCCGACAGGCGUAGUCGAUGGACAACCGGUUGAUAUUCCGGUACCCGCUUUGAAACGCCCAAUACUGAAUCAGGCGAUGCUAAGUCCGUGAAGCCGGCCCGAUCUCUUCGGAGUUGAGGGUAGUNAGGCUGAGACCUGAUGCCGAGCCGAUUGUGGUGAAGUGGAUGAUCCUAUGCUGUCGAGAAAAGCCUCUAGCGAGUUUCAUGGCGGCCCGUACCCUAAACCGACUCAGGUAGUCAGGUAGAGAAUACCGAGGCGUUCGGGUGAACUAUGGUUAAGGAACUCGGCAAAAUGCCCCCGUAACUUCGGGAGAAGGGGGGCCAUCACUGGUGAUCCGAUUUACUCGGUGAGCUGGGGGUGGCCGCAGAGACCAGCGAGAAGCGACUGUUUACUAAAAACACAGGUCCGUGCGAAGCCGUAAGGCGAUGUAUACGGACUGACGCCUGCCCGGUGCUGGAACGUUAAGGGGACCGGUUAGUGCACUUUCGGGUGUGCGAAGCUGAGAACUUAAGCGCCAGUAAACGGCGGUGGUAACUAUAACCAUCCUAAGGUAGCGAAAUUCCUUGUCGGGUAAGUUCCGACCUGCACGAAUGGCGUAACGACUUCUCGACUGUCUCAACCAUAGGCCCGGUGAAAUUGCACUACGAGUAAAGAUGCUCGUUUCGCGCAGCAGGACGGAAAGACCCCGGGACCUUUACUAUAGUUUGAUAUUGGUGUUCGGUUCGGCUUGUGUAGGAUAGG